rnacentral:rRNA from 1 species
UCAAGCGAAGAAGAGCAUAAGGUGAAUGCCUUGGCAUCAGGAGCCGAAGAAGGACGCGACAAGCUGCGAUAAGCUGCGGGGAGCUGCAAAUGAGCAUUAUAUCCGCAGAUUUCCGAAUGUGGAAACACACACGGUGAAGAACCGUGUAUCAUAUACUGAAUACAUAGGUAUAUGAGGGGAACCCCGGGAACUGAAACAUCUAAGUACCGGGAGGAAGAGAAAUCAACCGAGAUUCCGCGAGUAGUGGCGAGCGAAAGCGGAAGAGGCCAAACCGCGCGUAGCAAUAUGCGCGGGGUAAGGACCGCAAUCAAGUUAGCAACGGAAGUCGAAUUGUGUGGGAAAGCAAACCGGAGAAGGUGAGAGUCCUGUAGACGAAAAAGUUGCGAAGCGUGCGGUAUCCGGAGUAUCAGCGGGCACGUGGAACCCGGUGAGAAAGAGGGGGGACCAUCCUCCAAGCCUAAAUACUACCUGAUGACCGAUAGUGAAGCAGUACUGUGAAGGAAAGGUGAAAAGAACCCCGGGAGGGGAGUGAAACAGAACCUGAAACCUUAUGUUUACAAGCACACAAAGCACGUUAAGGUGCGAUGUGGUACUUUUUGUAGAACGGUCCGGCGAGUUAUUGUAUGCAGCGAGGUUAAGUUAUUAAGGAACGGAGCCGCAGGGAAACCGAGGGUGAAGAGCCCGUACAGUUGCAUGUAACAGACCCGAAACCGGGUGACCUAUCCAUGAGCAGGUUGAAGGUGGGGUAAAGCCCACUGGAGGACCGAACCGACCCCCGUUGAAAAGUUGGCGGAUGACUUGUGGAUAGCGGAGAAAUUCCAAUCGAACCCGGAGAUAGCUGGUUCUCCCCGAAAUAGCUUUAGGGCUAGCCUUGCAUAUAUUUACCGGGGGUAAAGCACUGAAUGAACGAGGGGUCGAGAGACUACCAACUUCUAUCAAACUAAGAAUACCGGAGAAAUGAGCGCAGGAGUCAGACUGUGUGAGAUAAGUCUCACGGUCAAAAGGGAAACAGCCCAGACCCACAGCUAAGGUCCCGAAUAUAUGCUAAGUGGAAAAGGAUGUGACAAUGCUAAGACAACCAGGACGUUGGCUUAGAAGCAGCCACUCAUUGAAAGAGUGCGUAAUAGCUCACUGGUCGAGUGAUGUUGCGCCGAAAAUUUAACGGGGCUGAAGCAUAUAACCGAAGCUUGGGAUAUCCUAUGGAUAUGGUAGGGGAGCGUUGCGUCAGGGGUGAAGCGGUACCGGAAGGAGCCGUGGACCUGACGGAAGUGAGAAUGCCGGAAUGAGUAGCGAGAAUUGCGUGAGAAUCGUAAUGGCCGAAAAUCUAAGGUUUCCGGGGGUAGGUUCGUCCGCCCCGGGUAAGCCGGGAGCUAAGGCGAGGCCGAAAGGCGUAGUCGAUGCACAUACGGUAGAAAUUCCGUAGCCGUACGAACUUAAGUAUACUGACACGAAUGCGGACUCCAACCCGGGCGAUGGUAGCCCCGGGCGAAAGGGACUGAAAUUAAAAAUAGGGAAGUGGGGGAAGCAGGCGGCGAGAAAAGGUAUACGUAUGUAAUCGUGCGCCCGUACCGCAAACCGACACAGGUAGAUGAGGAGAGGAUCCUAAGGCCAACGGGAGAAGGGUUGUUAAGGAACUCGGCAUAUUGACCCCGUAACUUCGGAAGAAGGGGUGCCACCGCAAGGUGGUCGCAGUGAAAAGGCCCAGGCGACUGUUUACCAAAAACACAGGUCUCUGCAAAAGCGAAAGCUGAAGUAUAGGGGCUGACGCCUGCCCGGUGCCGGAAGGUCAAGGGGAAGUGUUAGGGCAACCGAAGCACAGAACUUAAGCCCCGGUAAACGGCGGCCGUAACUAUAACGGUCCUAAGGUAGCGAAAUUCCUUGUCAGGUAAGUUCUGACCCGCACGAA